GGCACGGUGGCUUAGUGGUUAGCACGUUUGUCUCACACCUCCGGGGUUGGGUGUUCAAACCCCUCCUGUGUGU